rnacentral:rRNA from 1 species
CACGGGUAGCAAUACCUGGUGGCGACCGGCAAACGGGUGCGGAACACGUACGCAACAUACCCUGGUCUGGGGCAUAGCCUUCUGAAAAGGAGAUUAACACCCCAUAAGAUAAUAGCGUGGCAUCACGUAGUUAUAAAAAAUUUAUUGGACCAGGAUUGGCGUGCGUCCUAUUAGCUAGUUGGUAUGGGUAACGGCCUACCAAGGCGACGAUAGGUAGCUGGUGUGAGAGCACGACCAGCCACACGGGCACUGAGACACGGGCCCGACUCCUACGGGAGGCAGCAGUGAGGAAUAUUGGUCAAUGGACGCAAGUCUGAACCAGCCAUGCCGCGUGAAGGAUGAAGGCGUUCUGCG